CUGCACAGGUUCCAAUAAAUAUAAUUCAGAUAGUAAGCAAAUAUUUAUACAAAGAAGAUAAAUAUUUUUCUUCAAAUGCUUCAAGAUACACGCAUUACAUAUGAAUGGCAAUUUAUCAAUUCACAAUUAUAGCAAGCACACACAUACAGGGCAUUUCUACACAAGCUUCUAUAAAGAUGCAUGAUGCUUUAACUUUCCUAUGCUAGGCAGCAUAAUAAGUUUUAUAAUGACCAAAACCAUGAAUACCUUGCCAAUGCCAAUCUGACCCCUAAAUUCUUAUUAACACAGAACAAGCUAAAAUUUUAUCAAAUUUCAGAAAUAGCAUUGCAAAUACCAUUAUCUUGGUCUGGCCAACUAGUCAUGCUUGCUUGUUCCAGAUGCGAAAAUCAGGAUCAAUUACUUUGUUUUAAGAUCAUUCAUAUUCACUUUUGAAUAUAUAUUUGAAAAUAAUAAUAAUAAUAAUUGGUUUGACCAGGAACAUUAUUGCAGGUACUCUCCAUUCUAAGUGCUAGACUGCUAGCAAGGAUCUUGACCAACAAUAUUGAUAGUUUCAAACAGAGAAAUGAUGAUUUUUUUUUUCUUCCACAAGUCAGCAUCCUGACUUUUGUGCAAGUCGAUCAAGGCUUAGACUUGUGUUCAAAGACAUGAUAUUAUCAUCGUGGCAUUAGACAUGGGCCUGGUCAGGGUUUGGACUGGAAGCAGCCUGGUCAAAACCACAUUGGAACCAGUAAAUCCCGGAUUUGACCAUAGCCGUCUUGAACUAGGUUGAUUUUGACCAGUUCGGUCUGGUUCCAAAU
rnacentral:misc_RNA from 1 species